rnacentral:rRNA from 1 species
GACGAACGCUGGCGGCGUGCUUAACACAUGCAAGUCGAGCGGUAAGGCCCUUUCGGGGGUACACGAGCGGCGAACGGGUGAGUAACACGUGGGUGACCUGCCCUUAGCUCUGGGAUAAGCCUGGGAAACUGGGUCUAAUACCGGAUAUGACUCCAUGACGCAUGUUGUGGGGUGGAAAGCCUUGUGCGGCUAGGGAUGGGCCCGCGGCCUAUCAGCUUGUUGGUGGGGUGAUGGCCACCAAGGCGACGACGGGUAGCCGGCCUGAGAGGGCGACCGGCCACACUGGGACUGAGACACGGCCCAGACUCCUACGGGAGGGCAGCAGUGGGGAAUCUUGCGCAAUGGGCGAAAGCCUGACGCAGCGACGCCGCGUGAGGGAUGACGGCCUCGGUUGUAAC